UACGUAGGUGGCAAGCGUUUGUCCGGAAUUAUUGGGCGUAAAGCGCGCGCAGGUGGUUUCUUAAGUCUGAUGUGAAAGCCCACGGCUCAACCGUGGAGGGUCAUUGGAAACUGGGGAACUUGAGUGCAGAAGAGGAAAGUGGAAUUCCAAGUGUAGCGGUGAAAUGGCGUAGAGAUUUGGAAGGAACACCAGUGGCGAAGGCGACUUUCUGGUCUGUAACUGACACUGAGGCGCGAAAGCGUGGGGAGCGAACAGG
rnacentral:rRNA from 1 species